UGGGGAAUAUUGCACAAUGGGCGCAAGCCUGAUGCAGCCAUGCCGCGUGUGUGAAGAAGGCCUUCGGGUUGUAAAGCACUUUCAGCGAGGAGGAAGGUGGUGAGCUUAAUACGCUCAUCAAUUGACGUUACUCGCAGAAGAAGCACCGGCUAACUCCGUGCCAGCAGCCGCGGUAAUACGGAGGGUGCAAGCGUUAAUCGGAAUUACUGGGCGUAAAGCGCACGCAGGCGGUUUGUUAAGUCAGAUGUGAAAUCCCCGGGCUCAACCUGGGAACUGCAUUUGAAACUGGCAAGCUAGAGUCUCGUAGAGGGGGGUAGAACUCCAGGUGUAGCGGUGAAAUGCGUAGAGAUCUGGAGGAAUACCGGUGGCGAAGGCGGCCCCCUGGACGAAGACUGACGCUCAGGUGCGAAAAGGCGUGGGGAGCAAACAGGAUUAGAUACCCCUGGUAGUCCACGCUGUAAAACGAUGUCGAUUUUGGAGGUUGUGCCCCUUGAGGCGUGGCUUCCGGAGCU
rnacentral:rRNA from 1 species